AGUCGAACGAGAAUCUUUAGCUUGCUAGAGAAAGUACAGUGGCGCACGGGUGAGUAACGCGUGGGUAAUCUGCCUCCGAAUCGGGGAUAACAUUGCGAAAGCGAUGCUAAUACCGGAUAAAAUCUGGUUGGCUUAGGUGAACCGGAUCAAAGGUGGUCUCUUUAUAAAAGCUACCGUUUGGAGAUGAGCUCGCGUACCAUUAGCUAGUUGGUGAGGUAAAGGCUCACCAAGGCGACGAUGGUUAGCUGGUCUGAGAGGAUGAUCAGCCACACCGGAACUGGAACACGGUCCGGACUCCUACGGGAGGCAGCAGUGAGGAAUUUUGCGCAAUGGGGGAAACCCUGACGCAGCAACGCCGCGUGAGUGAUGAAGGCUUUCGGGUCGUAAAGCUCUGUCAGGUGGGAAGAACCCACCAAGUGUUAAGACCACUUGGUGCUGACGGUACCACCGAAGGAAGCACCGGCUAACUCCGUGCCAGCAGCCGCGGUAAUACGGGGGGUGCGAGCGUUAUUCGGAAUCAUUGGGCGUAAAGGGCGCGCAGGCGGUUUUGUAAGUCAGAUGUGAAAUCCCGGGGCUUAACCCCGGAAGUGCAUAUGAAACUAUGAGACUUGAGUAUGGGAGAGGGAAGCGGAAUUCUGGUGUAGCGGUGAAAUGCGUAGAUAUCAGGAGGAACACCGGUGGCGAAAGCGGCUUCCUGGACCAAUACUGACGCUGAGGCGCGAAGGCGUGGGGAGCGAACAGGAUAAGAUACCCUGGUAGUCCACGCAGUAAA
rnacentral:rRNA from 1 species